AUUGGAAACAGAUCACGUGAGCGCAACACUUAUUAAUGACCCAUCCCUUGUUGUUAAUAACUAGCAGCUGCUGCUAACAUUUCAAUGGCGAAAAAGUUUGAACCUGCGCAAAACUUUGUGGGACUAAUGCUCCAACUGUAGGGGGUUAGGCAGUUCACUGAUUACUUUAAAGCUACCAGCACAUGUAGCUACAGCGGAACAGACUAUUUUUGGUUGAUUAUUCUACCGAAAGGAGCAAUAAAACCGGAAAAUGUAAAAUCGAGGUGUUGUACUUUGUGGGACUCGUUCUUUUGAUCUCAUCAUCGGACAAUAGGUUUGAUACUUGCAUAUGAUGAAGAAAUCUUUCCACUAGUGGAAUAGCAUAGUUUAAUGAUUCUAGUUGUUUAUAAUCAUGCUAAAAUCAAUUUAAAGAUGCAGAAGGUAGAGAGAGGUCAUCAUUAACUUCCACCAGCAGUUCAGCUUCUUCCGUGUUUUAUGAGAUGCAAGAGAGGCUGGAGAACACUGCACAAAAGAGAAAAA